rnacentral:rRNA from 1 species
GGCGGCAGGCCUAACACAUGCAAGUCGAGCGGUAGAGAGAAGCUUGCUUCUCUUGAGAGCGGCGGACGGGUGAGUAAUGCCUAGGAAUCUGCCUGGUAGUGGGGGAUAACGUUCGGAAACGGACGCUAAUACCGCAUACGUCCUACGGGAGAAAGCAGGGGACCUUCGGGCCUUGCGCUAUCAGAUGAGCCUAGGUCGGAUUAGCUAGUUGGUGAGGUAAUGGCUCACCAAGGCGACGAUCCGUAACUGGUCUGAGAGGAUGAUCAGUCACACUGGAACUGAGACACGGUCCAGACUCCUACGGGAGGCAGCAGUGGGGAAUAUUGGACAAUGGGCGAAAGCCUGAUCCAGCCAUGCCGCGUGUGUGAAGAAGGUCUUCGGAUUGUAAAGCACUUUAAGUUGGGAGGAAGGGCAGUUACCUAAUACGUGAUUGUUUUGACGUUACCGACAGAAUAAGCACCGGCUAACUCUGUGCCAGCAGCCGCGGUAAUACAGAGGGUGCAAGCGUUAAUCGGAAUUACUGGGCGUAAAGCGCGCGUAGGUGGUUAGUUAAGUUGGAUGUGAAAUCCCCGGGCUCAACCUGGGAACUGCAUUCAAAACUGACUGACUAGAGUAUGGUAGAGGGUGGUGGAAUUUCCUGUGUAGCGGUGAAAUGCGUAGAUAUAGGAAGGAACCACCCAGUGGCGAAGGCGACC